UUGACGCUUUUGUAAUCUAGUCUCCCGCCUUGUGAAAGUUCACCAAAACCGCUUGGAUGGGCAAAGUGCCACGCCCCUUUAAACCGCAACCUUGACAGACUCCGAGGGUACAUUUUGUAAAGGUGGGGGUCUUACCGGAGCUCUGUCUUGUGUGUGUCUGGUUGGCUGCUAUUUGUGAGCACGUCCCUCUGUCUCCUUCAGUCUUUGCUGUUGUUCGCGGCCAGUCCGGCCUGUUGCUGUCGGAUGUCAGGGGCGCUGUAAAUGAAUAAAGGUCUGAGUCCAGGAGCCAGUCACCCUCCUGUGGAAAGCAGCGGCUACCAGAAGAGGGUGAAACACUCGAGCACAUCACGCAUAAGCCCAUAGCCAGUGGAGAAGGCAAUGUCCAAGGUCUCUAACAUUCAAAGGACCAACCUGCCAGCCUGAAAAAGAUCCAUUUAUUCCUACUCUCUGCUUCCCGUUAACCAGCAGAGCCUCAUGUAGAUGAUGUGCAGUGAUGCUGAAAGACCUGAAUAUACUAGAACGAAAAAUAGAGGAGGCCAUCCAUGAUCUUUUUACUGCCAUGGCUUCAGCAUGUCAUCAGCAUGCAAGUGCUUGACUAUCUCCAAGAAGGAACGGCAGCAACAUUCAUGACCCAGAACCAGCAGAAGAGUCAGUGGCUGCCGGGUACCCAGCUCAACCUGGAAUUGAUAUCUGUCACCAUGGGCACACAACUCCAAUGCUGAGGCUGGAUGUGGUCUUGGCAUCUCAAUCUCACUCCAGGUGUCUUUUCAGUUCAAGGAGACAGGGAGGGCACAGCUGAGAUGUGAAGGACUUCAUUCUCCAGGGGAAGAGUACUUGUACCUGACCAAAACUAAGAGAAAAUCUGACUGAGUCUCUACGGUGAGAAUAUUUGGUCCAGUCCUUGCGAUCAGAAAAUGUAACAAAGUCCUACUGCAAUGUGACACACAGCCUUUAUUUCACCAUUUUCAGAAGUCCUCAGGCUGACAAUAUCCUCUGCAAUGGAAGGACCACUUUGAUGCUUGGCAUCUUGAUUCUGCGAGUGAUUAUAGAAGCCUGCAGACUUGGAUUCAAGAGGCAAUCUCAUACCAAGCUCAGGAAUUCUAAGCAAAGAAUUAUCUGAAAAUGACCUAAAAUAAAUCAAAAAACUACAGGCACUGGAGAUCCGUAACAAAAACAGAAAUACUCAACAAACUCGGCUGUCUGGUAGCAUCUGUGCGGUGACUAAAACAGUUAACAUUUCGAGUCCAGUGACUUUUGGUCACAACAUACUGACGAAGGGUCACUGGACGAAUAAUGUUAACUCUUUUUUUCCCUCCACAGAUGCUGCCAGACUUGCUGAGUUUCACAGGCGUUUUGUGUUUCAGAAAAUAGGCUCUUGUAAUGCAGUGGUACUGCUUCUACCUCUGAGCCAGAGCUUCAGAGUUCAAGACCUACCUGCCACAAACAUAUAUUAUAACAUACCUGAACAGAUUGGUAAAGGAAAUAAAAAAGAGCUGCAGUGGCACAGUGGUAGUGAUCCGACCUCUGAACUAGAAGCUCUGGGUUCACGUUCUACUUGUUCCAUAACAUUUCUGAGUUGGUUGAUUAAAAUAUAUCUUGAUGCUCUGGCAAUAAGAAUGCUUGUGGGUCAGUGGUAGUGCCCCCACCUCUGAGUCAGAAGGUCUGGGAUCAAGUCCCACAUGCAUCAGAGGUGUGACAUAACACAUAACGGCUGGAUUAAAAUUAUCUAGCGGCGACAGGAUUCUAUAUCACAGCCUUGUUAGCACCAUGGACAAGUCUCAGUAAUCUUCUGUUUUGUCCUUCCAUGUAAGAGGACCCUGAAGCCCAAUGCGAUGUCAACAUCUGAAAUUGCAUCAGUUAAAUGCAGAAACUGAUGAAUAUUUAUACACAAAUGGCAACCACUUGUACGAGGCCCCAAACGAUGCAC